AUGUGGCUUCAUUUCUUCGCGGUGGCGUGUUCACUGUUGGAGUCCCCGGUUGCUCUUGUAGUGUUAGGGGUCGUGUUGCUGCGCUCAGCGUCUAUGUAUCAUAAUUUGGGUGUGUGCGUGUGUUGUGGUGGUGUGCAUUUGUACCAGAUUGUUAUGGAUCGUUGCUUUAUUAUAAAGCGGGACGAAAGCUUUUUUAUAAUGAAAAAGACAAGCCUUUUGCCUUGGUUUCAAAAGAAAGAUGUGGAUUGUGUACGGUUCUCAAUUGAAGUUGUCAUUUUCAUUUUCUUCAUGGACGAACUGAUGGGUUUGAAACUCAGAAAUCAGAAUAGUUUUUCUCUACAGUUGUGUGCUGUAGGACAUGGAAGAGUGGGAGGACUAGAUCGAUAG
rnacentral:rRNA from 1 species